AUGCACCCAAUGUGGAGGCCCAGGUACAAGGACUUCAUUGAAGAACAUCACUGAGGAGAGCCGGCCACAUCGAAAAGAAAAAACAUAGAGAUAGUUGCAAGACGGGAGCCUGCCCCAGCAACAAAGACCUCGGUAAGUGAGCGACGAUAUGGGACAAGACAUGAGUCAACAUGAAUUGUUUGUUGAAGGCCUCAAGAAGACACUUAAGGUGCGAGGGAUUAGGCUUACAACACAGGAUUUGUGAAAGUCUUUUGUCUUUAUUAAGGAAAUUUGUCCCU
rfam:Mesocricetus auratus contig094299, whole genome shotgun sequence.